AUGGAGGGCACUGCCAAGGCGGCGGCGCUGGGCGUGGAAGCUACCUCUACCGACAACAACACGAAUCAUCAAGCGGCCGCAGCGCUGCCGUCUCAGCUGUCGACGUCCUCUUCUGCGCCCCGGCCACGGAGGACUGCCACAACUGCUGUGGAUUCUCAUCGUCCGUGCAGUGCAAGGACGGGGAUCGUCCUCUUUGUGCAAGGGCAGCACAUCGGGAGCCGGCAAGCCACAACAACUAGCUUGCCUCACCCCUCCACGUCGACGCCCUUCUAUCUGAGCCUGUUGAACGCCGCGGUCAUCUACUACAUGGGAAGAGCUGCGACAUGCUGCUUCACCUCUAAUGGCUUUUUGCACCGCUAUAACGCCCUCAAGUUUGCUAAUGAUAUGGGAAUUUGGAAGCCAGGAAACAUGGGCACUAUUUCAGCUGGAUUUUGUUGUAGUAGAUCGCCAGGGAGGGAAAAGGAGUUAAGAGACAAAGAGAAGGCUCAGCACCUCUAUUUGCAUGUCAAAUCUGAGUAG
rnacentral:rRNA from 1 species